UAGGGAAUCUUCCGCAAUGGGCGAAAGCCUGACGGAGCAACGCCGCGUGAGUGAAGAAGGAUUUCGGUUCGUAAAGCUCUGUUGUUAGGGAAGAAUGGAUAUGUAGUAACUAUACAUAUAAGAGACGGUACCUAACCAGAAAGCCACGGCUAACUACGUGCCAGCAGCCGCGGUAAUACGUAGGUGGCAAGCGUUGUCCGGAAUUAUUGGGCGUAAAGCGCGCGCAGGUGGUUUAAUAAGUCUGAUGUGAAAGCCCACGGCUCAACCGUGGAGGGUCAUUGGAAACUGUUAAACUUGAGUGCAGGAGAGAAAAGUGGAAUUCCUAGUGUAGCGGUGAAAUGCGUAGAGAUUAGGAGGAACACCAGUGGCGAAGGCGGCUUUUUGGCCUGUAACUGACACUGAGGCGCGAAAGCGUGGGGAGCAAACAGGAUUAGAUACCCUGGUAGUCCACGCCGUAAACGAUGAGUGCUAAGUGUUGGUCUCAUAAGAGAUCAGUGCUGCAGCUAACGCAUUAAGCACUCCGCCUGGGGAGUACGACCGCAAGAUU
rnacentral:rRNA from 1 species